GCAAAUGUGGGGCCUGCGGGGGGGGUAAUUGUGAGGGGGAGAGGGUGUAUUGGUUUUGCUGGGCGGAAAGGUGGCGUAGUGGGGUUUUUAAGGCGGAUGUGAAAUCCCCGAGCGUAACUGGUGAAUUGGUUUCGAGACUGGGAAGCUAGAGUAUGGGAGAGGGUGGUAGAAUUCCAGGUGUAGCGGUUAAAUGCGUAGAGAUCUGGAGGAAUACCGAUGGCGAAGGCAGCCAUCUGGCCUAAUACUGACGCUGAGGUACGAAAGCAUGGGGAGCAAACAGGAUUAGAUACCCUAGUAGUC
rnacentral:rRNA from 1 species